UCCACUCACAAGGCUUUGGUUGGCCCAAAGCUACAGUAGAAGACACUUACCCAAGAUGCCAUGCAGUGGAACCAAACCCAGAACCAUGUGGUUGGGAAGCAGAGUUCUUACCACACAGCCAUGCCUGUGCCCUGUUGUUUUCGACGUAAGAACCUAGAAACUUCAAGGGAACACAAAAGAUUUACUUUAUCUACUUCAAGUUCAACCAUUAAAAAAACCAAUUAGUUCACUAAAUAUGUGUUUUUGUAUAGUAUCCUUAUUGUUUAUUUGUUGAAUAGUUAUGCAAAUUAUUAGAUUAAUUAAUUUAUUAGUUUAUUUGAUUAAACUCAUGGAAAGUAAAAAUAUUCAAAAUUGUUAAUUUAAGAGCAUUGAGCUCAUUUUCUGAAUUACUCUCGUUACAUUUUGUAUGAAAUUUAAUUCGUAGUUGAGAAGCAGAAUUAACUGGGUUUUACUGGGUAUUAGUUGGUCACAUAUUAGUAAUUGUAUAUGGGUAGCAAAAGUAGGGCAGAAGUUGAUAUGUUUGGGUAAAUACCUGUUCUGGGGUGCUUAUUACAACACAAUUAGCAAUUCUGUGUAUACUGGAAUUCCAUUGAUACUAAAGUUUUUACAUAUCAUGAAAAUUGUUUGAAAUAAAUAUCAUUUGUGUACUUGAUUUUUAAUUUUAUCACUUUUGUUUAAAUAAAAUAAAAAAUUCAGAAUAAUUAACAUUUUUAUUAUUUACAUUAUUUACAUUUGACGGAUAUUUGUCCUCAUCUUGUUUGUUGUUAACGCAACAUUUCGGCUGAUAUACCCCCCAGCCUUCAUCAGGUGUCUUGGGGAAGUUUCUAUAAAAUCUUAGUCUUGUGCUUAUGUUAAUGAGUAAAAGGACUUGUCCAAGAUUUGCCAAUGCAUCAUGUUACUUCUGUUGGCAUUGAAAAAUGGGAGGAGAGCAAUUCUGAUGCUAAAAAAAGACAUAAAUGAAUUGUAAAUCAGCCAAGGUGUCUUCGUUUCUAAACCAUUUUUUGUUUGAUUGUUUUAGAUAUCAAGAAGAAGAUGAAGGGAUUCAGGAAAUGCUUUCAAAAAAAGGAUUUGUAGAAGAUGAUUGAGUACAUCUUGGUAGUGUUUAUAGCACAUCCCUUUAUAUAUAUCUGUCAAUGACUCACCAGCUUACCAUAUGCAUAAUGCUACUUCAUGGUUUCUUAUCUUCUGGAAAUACUCAUUGAAGCACUACAAACAGAAAUAUCACUUUUUUUCUCUCUUUGCAAAGAAGAAAGUUUUAUUUUACCAUUGGGAAAAUUAUUCACAAGUCUUGCCAAAAAAAAGUGAAAGGAUUAAAAUAUUACGCAAAAAUACCCUCAAUAGUUUUUUUUUUAUAUUUAAUGACAGGUAACUUCAGCUUCAAUUGAAUUAUCAAUAUAUUUUUAAUAAAUUUUUAUUCAUGUAGCAGUUAAUAAUCAACAUCAAUAUUUCACAUUUUUUUUGUGUGUGUAUGAAUAACUCUGUAAUGGUGUGUGGCCUGGUGGUUAGUGUGUUACACUCGCAAUUGCAAGAAAGUGGUUUCAAUUCCUGGAUUGGGUGGUGUGUUCUUGAGCAAAGCACUUAAUUUCACCUUGCCCUGUAAAUGAGUGUGACGGUGGACUGGCAUCCAAUGCAGAGGUGAUUGUUGUGAUCUUGGUCACUUAUGCUUCGUGGAAACCAGGCAACCGGCACAAUGAUUCCUAGGCUUCAAGACAAUACUUUGCAAUUUUUCUUUUGACUGUGAGCGAAUCUCUGAUAUUGUAUUUAUUUUUAAAUAUGUAAUGUCUGUCUGUAAACUUGUGGACAUUGGAUGACAACAUUUCUCAUUAGAACAAGUUACUGUGGAAUCUCUGUUUGUCACCCAAAAUGUUUGUGAACGAAAACUAUUUUUCCCAUAGGAAAUUCAAGUCAAGACCUGGUGAAUGUGCACAGGGAUGUGCCCUGAGCGAUAGCUAAACACCAACCGAUGCUCUCUUGCUGAUAACUCCCAGCCUGUUACCAACCAUUGUUGCCGACUUACAUCUUCAUUACUCAAGAUACCUUUCAUCACCUGAUACAUUUUAUAUGUUUGAAAAACUGUUUGUAAACUGAGGUUCCUCUGUUAUAUGGUUUAAGAAACUGCAAGUGCCACUUUACCAUAAAAAAAACUGGACAUUAUAUUCUGCUUAAGAAAUCAUGUUUUAUUUUUAUAUUGCUUAUCAAAAUUAUAAAUGCCAGGGGGAAAGUUUCUUUCAACUCCUCUAACCUCAAUUCAAUGAUUUUACUGUGUGAGUGUGCAGUUUACUUGAGAUCUAAGCCUGUAUUUGUUACCCUAAAUACAAAUAACUGUGCUUGUUACCAAUUCAAAUAAUAUUUUCAUUAAUUGUCUUCAUUUUGGGGUGAAUUUUGGAAGCAUCUUUUUAGUGUAUCUUGGAUGAAAUAUUACUGGUGCUUUUCAUCUUUUCAUUAAGCCAAAUAAGAAUUUUUGCUCAGCACUGCAAGCUAAUGAAACAGUCUUUGAACAUACCUAGUGGGUUGGGGGUCGGGUUUAAACCCUUUGCUUGUUCUGUGCAUCACAUAUGAUACCCAGGACAUCCAUGUAUCCCUAUCAUCCGUGUAUCAUGUGUAAUACACAUUCCCAAUUUCUUUUUAGUCACAAGAGUAAGUUGGGAGUUGUGAAAGGAAUGUUUUAUGUUACUCAGAAUGUAUGAAACGAGGACUCACUAAAAGUCUGAAAACAAGCUUGGACGUUUAGGGCUAACUUAUGCUUUGGACAGGCAAAGGUUCAGUUUAUUUUUAAAAGUUCAAUCUAGACGUGUGGGCAGCAUCCAUGACUAUCAGAGAAUCCCUUGAGAUUGAUGACAUCGGUGUAGUUGAUGUUGAGCUUGGACAUCUGUAAGCCAACAUCUGCUGCACAAAUGUGAACUGGAAUGGAAUUCCAGAAGGUUAAGGAUUGAGAAGAGUGGUUAACGUGUGUGUGUGUGUUUGGAAAGGAGAGGUGGGGUGUCUGCUGGAGUUUGGGGUGGAAAUGGUAUGAGACUUGGUAGUUUUUAAAAGCAAAAGUGAUUAUAAUGAUGGUAGAAUAGGCAGUGUAAGGACAUCACAUGUCUUAAUUAAAGGUUCUAGCACAUUUAAUGUAUUCUUCCUUUUUCUUAAGAUGAGAGCAGGUAAUUUUAAGGAAAUGUUUCCACUGCUAGGCUCAGAAUGAAAUUAAUGGAAUGGGUUAAAUUAGUUGUUUUACCCGACAUUUAUCCUGAUUGAGACAGUGUCUGGCCAAGUGGUGACCAUUUUGCCUUAUAUAUAUAUAUAUAUAUAUAUAACACCUCAUUGUCUGAGGGUAUAAAUUUGGCGAAAAUUGGCUGCUAUUUCUAGCACUGUAUGCAAUUACAUAAAAGUUUUUUCAAUGGUUGUGUGCAGUCAGCUGUGUACACACUGAAAGGUCAAUUUUAUACACACAAUUCUCUGAGAGUGAAGGCAGGUGGCCUAGUAGUUAGGGUGUUACAAUUACAAUCAUGAAAUCUUGGUUUCAAUCCCCAGGCUGGACAGUGCUUUGUGUUUUUGAGUAAAAGACUUAUUGUUCCAGUAACAGCUGGGAAGUUAAUCCUGUGACAGACUGGCAUCCUGAUCAGGGGAAGGAGUAUUAUAAUCUCAUUCACAAUGGAAACCAGGUGAAGCCCUACCAUUACAUGUCAACAGAUACAUCUUGAUGUUGUAUCCCAUCUUAAAGAUGGUUGUGAAAAAUUAUCAAAUUAACCCUUUCGUUACAGUAUUUAUUUUGAGAUGCUUUGUGUUUCUUUCAAUUAAUUUUUAAUAUAACAAAGAAUUUAGUAAAAUAACUUGGUUAUCAUUAAGCUAGUGUUAGGAACACAAAUUGUGACUAAGGUUUGGUGGAAGAUUUUAAUUCAAAUCAUAUGAAAACAUUCAAAUUGUCCUUCUUGCUUUCUUUUCUUCUCUUCUUUUUCCUCUAUUGCACCUCAAUCUCUCUCUCUCUCUCUUUCUUGCUCAUCUUAAUUUUUCUUUUCCUCCUCCCUGUCUGGUCUGAAUAUUUUGUUUUGGGACUUUCCUCUCUGCUGCUCAAUAUCACCCACUCAGUUACAUACCAAUCACUACUUUGUGUGUGUGUGUGUGUGUAUAUAUAUAUAUAUAUAUAUAUAUAAAUACACACACACACAUAUAUAGUAUGGGUGAGUGGAGAAACAAAGCCUAGCUUGUCAGGCUAGAUUUUGUUGACCACUCACCCAUACAAUAUUUCAAAAAUGGGCACUGUUAAUUGAAGAGUUAACUUUGUUAAAUCAAACUGCUCAAAAUAAUAACCAAUAGGAUUUCUCCGUCCAUGCUGUAACAGGCUUAGCAAUUAUGAUUGUAAUUUUCCAAUACAUUAAAAUUAACAAAACUUUGUAACAAAUGUGUGUAUAUAUAUAGAGGGAGAGAGACCCAUGCAAGCAUGGAAAAGUAGAUGUUAUAAUGAGGACAUAUAUGUGUUAGACACUCAUACACAUAUCUGAUGUAUGCUAUCACAGUUAAUACAAGGGAGAUAAUCAUUUCUUCAUAACAUUUGGUGGGAUUAGUAGCUUGAAGUUGAAAUUAAGGAAAUAAGGAGAAAAAAAAUGCAAGAUCAUAUUAUCCUAUUAUUGUUUUCACAUAUUAAUAAUGAUAGCGGUAUGAAAUUCGGGACUGAAAUCCCGCCCAUUUCAAACACAUUUUCUUUAUUAAACAUUACAGGGGUUGUACUGAUAUCAUUAUUAUUCUUGGAUUCCAUUUAUUUAUUCUGAUUUUGUAGUGAUUUACUGCUUUAGUAAGCUGUCUUUAUUCUGCUUGCUCUCACCAAUAAUUUCUACAAUAAUUUGUUUCCAGUCAUUGUUUUUCUUUUUUUUCAAAAAUCUAGAAUAAUUUUGAUUUAGCUUAAGAGAGUCACUAUGCCAGUGAUAAACACACGCACGUGCUGGCUCUAUUUCACUUUAUUAUUUAUUAGUCAAUUGAUUAAUUGGUUAAUCGAUUAAUCAAGACACACAGACAGACCUAAAGCUGGCCUGGAUUAGAGAGGACAUGUCAUUAAAAACAGCAGGGAAAAGACCUUAAUAGACUAUUUCACUGAACAAUUAGUCAGACAGUUGAUUACUUAACUGUUUAAAUAGUUAACUGAUUAAUGAAAAAUACUAAAGGAAGUGAAACCAGUGCAUGUGCUUAUUAUUGGCAUAAUGACCCUCCCAAGAUACAGCAAAAUUUGUUUCUUCAAAUGAGUUCACGUUAUGAAUCUUGCAAACCAAAUACAAAAACAAAAUAUUGUAGAAUAAUUAUUGAGUAUUUUUUAUCUGAAAAUGUCACUGAUGGGUUUUGAUAAACAUCGUCACUUUAAUUAAUUCAAAUAUGUAAAUAUAUAAGUUUUUUAUUUAUUCACAAGUACAUUCAUUGUGAGGUUUCAUAAAUUAUUACAGUAACUAAUAACGAUGUAUAAAAAUGUUUUUUUUAAUUAAAUUAAAUUUUGUUUAUCUGUUUUUGAUCAUCUUUGUUUAAGCAUGAACUGAAGAAUUUAAUGAGUGUGUUUUUUUCUUUUUUUGGUGUCAACAUUUUGUAAUAAAUUCACGAUUCUCUUCACAUUAAAUGAAAAUGGUAAAACGGACAGAAUGAAAUGUGUUGCCUUCAGUUCAGUUAUUGGUGCUAAAUUCUUUAAAACUCUUUUUGAUAUCAUUAAAAGGAAAUUGUGCCUCCUUCGACAUUUUUAUAUAAUUUUUUUUAUACAUAUAUAUAUAUAUUAUAGUAAAAAUAAAAUUUUCUUAAUAUA